GUGGGGGGGCCGGGGGAUCUGCUCCCUGCCCUCACUGCAGCUGGGCAACAAGUCAUCCUUGGAGAGGGAUCUGGAGGCGCAUCCCUCAGUCUAACACAAAGAGCGUAGGCUUGGGAGCCAGGUUGCUUGGGUUCAAAUCCCAAAUCUGCCUCUUCAGAGACCAUCCAUCUCUUAGAGAAACACUAUUUCCUUGGAGGCACAUGUGGAUGCAACACAAUCCAGAGUCUUUACUGGGGGAAGGAAAAAGUCUACUCUGUGGAUGCAGAAGAAAAAAGGACGGCUGGAGAGAGAGAAAACUCCCCCCAAACCAUGCUUAUAUAACCCCCAUCUCAACUUCUCUGUCAUUGAGCAAGAAAACUCAUGUGAACCAGAAGGUGGCAGAAAGUUCCAUCUGUUAGGCUUGUGAAUGCCAUUUCAAUUUGAAUUGGUUGCUAGGAAAUAAAUAAAUAGAAUGAAAGCAGGAGCAAGUCCUCAGCAUCAGUAUGUUGAGGUUAAGUGUGCAAAGAUUUUUAAGCAUAAACAGAAUACCAAAAUAGCUCAAGAGGGAAGAAAAUAAUGCAUUUGGCUUCAAUACAAGCAGUAUGACCAGACAUCCAUGAAAAGGUAGUGAUAAUCUGAGUAGAAUUCACAGAUUUUUCUACAUAAAGAUGACUCUACUUAUAUUUCUGAGAAUAUAUCAGAUAACUUAUUUAGUGGAAGUAUUUUUAAAGCUAAUUGCCCCUGUUUUGAGCAUUCGAGAUCUUUAGAUUUCUUGGGCUUGGGUGUUUUUUUCUUAAUUAUACAAACUGAACUAUCUUUGGGAUGUGCUUUUACUAAGAAUCGGGUGUGAAAGUUAUAC
rnacentral:lncRNA from 1 species